CGGAUAGAAUCACAUGGAGGGCCGGAUUCGGCCCCCGGGCCGUGACUUUGACACAUGCAUCAGAGAAACUAGUUCAGCUAAAUCGCAUAUUUGUUGCACUGGAGGAGCAAUCAGAAAAUAACAUAAAAACAUCUUUUUUUUUUCCUUUUUCCAAACGUGUUCAUCAUUAAACAUGAUCACUUGUUAGCUAAAAAUAAAAUAGCAAACGGACAAAAAAAUAAACCCAACUUUGUAUUUCUUUUCAUCAUCAGAUGGGAGAUAACCAACACGGGCAUCGGUUGCUUCCUGAAAGCGUCUCUCAACCGUCUGUAACUCUAUGCAGAGAUUGUCUCAGAGUUGCAUAAGCUCGGCUGCCAUACGUUCAAUAUCCACAUCGAGUUCGUCAUUAGUGGAACUCCAGCAGAUCGCCGGAGGAGACGCGGCACAGCGGAGCGUUCCUCAUCAGAACUGAUGGUUUCAUGUUGUUUGAUUACGGUUGAGGUGAAUGACGUCAACGAAACUCGGAGAACCUGGUUGCCGAGGCGACGGUGGCCGAAAACCAUCAGCCGGAAACGGAAAAUCCACAAGAUUUCAGAGCUGUAGACACUUUUAUUAAAACUUUGUAAUAAAUGG